rnacentral:rRNA from 1 species
UACGAAGGGGGCUAGCGUUGCUCGGAAUCACUGGGCGUAAAGCGCACGUAGGCGGAUUGUUAAGUCAGGGGUGAAAUCCUGGAGCUCAACUCCAGAACUGCCUUUGAUACUGGCGAUCUUGAGUCCGGGAGAGGUGAGUGGAACUGCGAGUGUAGAGGUGAAAUUCGUAGAUAUUGGGAAGAACACCAGUGGCGAAGGCGGCUAACUGGUCCAGCACUGACGCUGAGGUGCGAAAGCGUGGGGAGCGAUCCGG